CGCGUAGGCGGUUUGUCGAGUUAGGCGUGAAAGGCCUGGGCUUAACCCAGGAAUGGCGCUUGAUACUGACGAUCUGGAGAUCGGGAGAGGAGAGUGGAAUUCCCAGUGUAGAGGUGAAAUUCGUAGAUAUUGGGAAGAACACCGGUGGCGAAGGCGGCUCUCUGGCCCGCAUCUGACGCUAAGGCGCGAAAGCGUGGGGAGCAAACAGGAUUAGAUACCCUGGUAGUCCACGCUGUAAACGAUGAGUGCUAGACGUUGGGGGGCUUGGCUCCUCGGUGUCGCAGCUAACGCGGUAAGCACUCCGCCUGGGGAGUACGGUCGCAAGAUUAAA
rnacentral:rRNA from 1 species